UACAGAGGGUGCGAGCGUUGUUCGGAAUUACUGGGCGUAAAGAGCGCGCAGGCGGUCGAAUAAGUCGAAUGUGAAAGCCCCCGGCUUAACUGGGGAGGGUCAUUCGAUACUGCUCGACUUGAAGGCAGGAGAGGGUAGUGGAAUUCCCGGUGUAGUGGUGAAAUGCGUAGAUAUCGGGAGGAACACCAGUGGCGAAGGCGACUACCUGGCCUGUUUCUUGACGCUGAGGCGCGAAAGCUAGGGGAGCAAACGGG
rnacentral:rRNA from 1 species